ACAGCAAGACAGUACUACUGCUGUGGAAUUGUCUUCUCUUCACUGUUUGCAUUCGUUAUCACAAUGAGUGUAAAACUUCUUGAUGCAGUAAAAAAGCUGGUAAGAGACAGCCGUAUGCUUUCACCUGCUAUUUUAGCAUUAAUCGAGGUGGGACUAGAAAAGAUCCUGGAAAUUGAGUUCAGUUGUCCUUGUGUACCGAAACUCAAUGCUGGAUAUAGCGUGUGCGUCUUUUUUAUACCAGCACUGGUAGUCUUGUUUCUUAUGUUAUCACAGAAGUGGACAGGCAUUGAAGACUGCUGCAAACGCUUCCUAAUUGCAUUAGUUCCAGCAGUGGCUUGGCUCAUCAUAACUUUCUUGGAUGGAAGAUACUUUGUUUGUUUAAAAGCUUAUGGGACAGGCACUUUCAAUGUGUCCCGACAUACUGAAGGCGUGGCUCAAUCAUGCAAUAUGAAAGAUGAAGCAAUGACAGAAAAGGAAACACUGGAUAUUAUUAAAAAAUAUACUGCAACAUCUCAGGUUAUCGGUGCUGGAAUUUCUGUUUUUUUCGCUCUGAUUUGGAUGAUCUCAGGGUGCUUUGGGUACUUACCGAGACCUGCUGAAGAUGACAUUGAAAAUGGAAGCAAGGAAAACCCUGAAGAGUCACACGAACUGAGCCAGAUGAUAUGAGAUGAGAUGAUGGCAGUAAUCGGUUGGAUAAUUUGGAACAACGCACAUAUAUCUGAAGCGCAGUCACGUGAUUUGCAAGAACAACGAAGACAUGUUUCUUUGUAUUUCCUCUAAAGAAAAUUAAAAUUUGAGUGCAGGCUAAUUUUUUGUUUAAGAAAAUAAAUUAUAUGUAUAUUACAUCAGGAUAAUAUGACCCAAGAAAUCAUUGGGCACUAUGCAUAAUGGUUUUUUUUUGCAUUUGUUCAGCAUGUGAAAGUUGAUUUUUAAAAGUUUGAUUUUCAUGCUUCCUAAUUCCAUGUCUGCUCUCUUAUUAUCUUCAGAUUUAGAUUAUUUAUGCAACCACUUGGCUAUAGAGCUGAAGUGAAAUCUCUAAUGCAAGAUCAGACAAGGUGGUUAAAC